rnacentral:lncRNA from 10 species
CUUUGGGCUUCUUUCCAACAGAAGGUGCACCCAGCCCCCCAUGCCCGCUUGGUCUUGACUCCAGGAAAUGACCUGUAGAUUCUAGGAGACAGCUCUUAUUUGUGUAACAUUUUACUGGCCUCACCUGGCUCCAAAGAUAUUUACAAGUGUCAAUAUAAGGCAAAAAGCCCCAGCCAAGCCUUCAGCAUCCCCAGCGAAUGUACUUCAUGCACCCAAACUGAAUAUCUCUCUUGCCUCACCCUAGACCUGGCCCAGGGUAAGACAAGCGAGACAUUUGUCUUGGGUGCAAAUUCCCUCCAACUGGAGGGAAAUAAGUGAAUUCUGCACAGCCUGAUGGAGUCAAGGACAAAGAUUUGGGCAGGAUUUGAGUCUCGGUUGUGCCUAUUACCAUGGACCCUGGGACAAGUCUCUACUUCCUUUUGAUGGACAGUUUCUGUAAAAUGGGCAUGUGAUUCUUACUUUGAGGUCUCAGAAGGUGACUGUGAAGAUCUGAUGAGAUACAGGAUAGGGCUUUACAAGUAGUGAUAUGCAUGCACAGGUAAAGACACAGAUAUUGUAUUCCAAACCUGCAAACAGCUCCCUCUCCUCAAUAUUUUACGGCGCUGCUUGGUGGAUGUGAAUGGACUCUGCACUGUACGUGGGCGUGGACUCCGAGCAGAAGCAGGGGGGUGUUCUCGGGACCCUUGUGGCUGGCCAGUUGUCCUGUCAAAGCAGCUUCUUGCUCCCCAGGGGCCAGUGCUUUUCACAAUAUAAUGGC